rnacentral:rRNA from 1 species
GUGCACGCUGGCGGUAGGCCUAACCCAUGCAAGUCGAACGGCAGCACAGUAAGAGCUUGCUCUUACGGGUGGCGAGUGGCGGACGGGUGAGGAAUACAUCGGAAUCUACUUUUUCGUGGGGGAUAACGUAGGGAAACUUACGCUAAUACCGCAUACGACCUACGGGUGAAAGCAGGGGAUCUUCGGACCUUGCGCGAUUGAAUGAGCCGAUGUCGGAUUAGCUAGUUCGCGGGGUAAAGGCCCACCAAGGCGACGAUCCGUAGCUGGUCUGAGAGGAUGAUCAGCCACACUGGAACUGAGACACGGUCCAGACUCCUACGGGAGGCAGCAGUGGGGAAUAUUGGACAAUGGGCGCAAGCCUGAUCCAGCCAUACCGCGUGGGUGAAGAAGGCCUUCGGGUUGUAAAGCCCUUUUGUUGGGAAAGAAAAGCAGCAGGUUAAUACCCCGCUGUUCUGACGGUACCCAAAGAAUAAGCACCGGCUAACUUCGUG